rnacentral:lncRNA from 1 species
CAUGGGGUCACAAAGAAUUGGACAUGACUGAGCAACUGAACUGAACUGAACUGAACAGAGGGGUCAAAAGUAAAUAUUACAGUUUUAAAACUCAUCUUUCAGUGUCAUUUUUCUCUGGCAACAGACUGUAGCUGCCUGGAUUUCUUUCAGUUCAGAAAUAACUUUUAAAAAUGGACUCCUCCAUUCAGGCAAGUUUGUAAAGAGAAGAUAUUUCCAAAACUUGGCAAAGCUUUGCUUACAUUCUUCCAUGAACCAAGCCAUUACCUCAAGACAUCUUGAUUUCAACUGCAGAGGUGGGUCGUCUUGCAAAGGAUGCAGAAAUGCCUCCUCAUUUCCUUGACUCUUUCUCACUGUCGCCAUUAUCUGGAACUACUACCAAUCCUUCACAUCUGAGACUUAGUGACUCUUGUGUCAUUUAUGGAAAGUUCAUUUAGGACUUCCCUGGUGGUCCAGCGGUUAAAAAUCUGCCUGUCAAUGUAGGCAACAUGUAUUCAGUCCCUGAUCUGGGAGGAUCCCACAUGCCUCAGAGCAACUAAGUUGGUGUGCCACAGCUACUCAGCCCACACCCUAGAGCCCGUGAGUUACAACUACUGAGCCCACGUGCCACAACUGGAGAGUAGGCCCCUCUUGCCUCAAAUAAAAAAAGUCGAUGAGCAGCAAAACGAAGACCCACCGCAGCCAGUUUCACUCGUCCAGAGAGUCCAGUUAAGCAAACUUUGGAGAAAUGAGAUAGUAAAAAGAUAACUUGUACCUUAGGCUUAAACUUACCACAAAAUAUUUCUAGUAUUUUCAAUUCAACUCAUUGCCGCUCUAUUAUUAUUAUCAAUAUUAUUAUCAUCAUCAUCACCAUCAUCAUAUAUAGGAAACAAUGGAGUUAGGGAUGCUAGGAAAAGAUGCUGGGGUAUAUACGCCUGCUUACAAUUAGGAAAACAGACAAAAUCUGCUUUACUCUCCUGUCAGCAUAAACAUAUUUGAAAGAUGUUUAGAUUUUCUGGUAAUUUUUUUCUCUUGAUGAGUCUGCCUUCAAUUUCUUGGGGAGAACCAAAAGCCUCCCUACUUUUCUCAUCGUCUUCCUUCCUUCUAGGACUCAGCUUCCUCAUCUAUCUUUCAAGUAACUGGAAGGUAAACUGAUGUUC